rnacentral:rRNA from 1 species
AUUGAACGCUGGCGGCAGGCCUAACACAUGCAAGUCGGACGGUAGCACAGAGGAGCUUGCUCCUCGGGUGACGAGUGGCGGACGGGUGAGUAAUGUCUGGGGAUCUGCCCGAUAGAGGGGGAUAACCACUAGAAACGGUGGCUAAUACCGCAUAACGUCGCAAGACCAAAGAGGGGGACCUUCGGGCCUCUCACUAUCGGAUGAACCCAGAUGGGAUUAGCUAGUAGGCGGGGUAAUGGCUCACCUAGGCGACGAUCCCUAGCUGGUCUGAGAGGAUGACCAGGCACACUGGGACUGAGACACGGUCCAGACUCCUACGGGAGGCAGCAGUGGGGAAUAUUGCACAAUGGGCGCAAGCCUGAUGCAGCCAUGCCGCGUGUAUGGAGAAGGCCUUCGGGUUGUAAAGUACUUUCAGCGGGGAGGAAGGCGGUGAAGUUAAUAACUUCACCGAUUGACGUUACCCGCAGAAGAAGCACCGGCUAACUCCGUGCCAGCCGCCGCGGUAA